rnacentral:rRNA from 1 species
UAAUCUGCCCCAAAGAAGAGAAUAAUUGUUGGAAACGACUUGUAAUGCUCUAUAUGCCUUUAUCACAUAAGUGAGCAAGGGAAAUAUUUAUAGCUUUGGGAUGAGACUGUACGGUAUCAGCUUGUUGGUGAGGUAAUGGCCCACCAAGGCGAUUACAGGUACGGGCUCUGAGAGGAGAGGCCCGGAGAUGGGUACUGAGACAAGGACCCAGGCCCUAUGGGGCGCAGCAGGCGAGAAAACUUUGCAAUGUGCGAAAGCACGACAAGGUUAAUCCGAGUGAUUUCUGCUAAAGAAAUCUUUUGCAAGUCAUAAAACCACUAGUGAAUAAGGGGUGGGCAAGUUCUGGUGUCAGCCGCCGCGGUAAAACCAGCACCUCAAGUGGUCAGGAUGAUUAUUGGGCCUAAAGCAUCCGUAGCCGGCUCUGUAAGUUUUCGGUUAAAUCCAUGUGCUCAACGCAUGGGCUGCCGAAAAUACUGCAUAGCUAGGGAGUGGGAGAGGUAGACGGUACUCGGUAGGAAGGGGUAAAAUCCUUUGAUCUAUUGAUGACCACCUGUGGCGAAGGCGGUCUACCAGAACACGUUCGACGGUGAGGGAUGAAAGCUGGGGGAGCAAACCGGAUUAGAUACCCGGGUAGUCCCGGCUGUAAACUCUGCGGACUAGGUGUCGCGUCGGCCUAGGGCCGACGCGGUGCCGAAGGGAAGCCGUUAAGUCCGCCGCCUGGGGAGUACGGUCGCAAGACUGAAACUUAAAGGAAUUGGCGGGGGAGCACUACAACGGGUGGAGCCUGCGGUUUAAUUGGAUUCAACGCCGGGAAUCUUACCAGGGGCGACGGCAGGAUGAAGGCCAGGUUGACGACCUUGCCAGACGCGCCGAGAGGUGGUGCAUGGCCGUCGUCAGCUCGUACCGUGAGGCGUCCUGUUAAGUCAGGUAACGAGCGAGACCCGUGCCCCAUGUUGCUACCCUCUCCUCCGGGAGAGGGGCACUCAUGGGGGACCGCCGGCGCUAAGCCGGAGGAAGGUGCGGGCAACGACAGGUCCGCAUGCCCCGAAUCCCCUGGGCUACACGCGGGCUACAAUGGCCGGGACAAUGGGACGCGACCCCGAAAGGGGGAGCGAAUCCCCUAAACCCGGUCGUAGUCCGGAUCGAGGGCUGUAACUCGCCCUCGUGAAGCCGGAAUCCGUAGUAAUCGCGCCUCACCAUGGCGCGGUGAAUGCGUCCCUGCUCCUUGCACACACCGCCCGUCACGCCACCCGAGUUGAGCCUAAGUGAGGCCCUGUCCUCUGGGCAGGGUCGAACUUGGGUUCAGCGAGGGGGGCGAAGUCGUAACAAGGUAGCCGUAGGGGAACCUGCGGCUG